rnacentral:piRNA from 1 species
ACAAAAUAAACUGUCCAACUUUUGU